UUAAGCGACUAAGCGUACACGGUGGAUGCCCUGGCAGUCAGAGGCGAUGAAGGACGUGCUAAUCUGCGAAAAGCGUCGGUAAGGUGAUAUGAACCGUUACAACCGGCGAUGUCCGAAUGGGGAAACCCAGUGCAAUUCGUUGCACUAUCGUUAACUGAAUACAUAGGUUAACGAGGCGAACCGGGGGAACUGAAACAUCUAAGUACCCCGAGGAAAAGAAAUCAACCGAGAUUCCCCCAGUAGCGGCGAGCGAACGGGGAGCAGCCCAGAGUCUGAAUCAGCUUGUGUGUUAGUGGAACGGUCUGGAAAGUCCGACGGUACAGGGUGAUAGUCCCGUACACCAAAAUGCACAGGUUGUGAACUCGAAGAGUAGGGCGGGACACGUGGUAUCCUGUCUGAAUAUGGGGGGACCAUCCUCCAAGGCUAAAUACUCCUGACUGACCGAUAGUGAACCAGUACCGUGAGGGAAAGGCGAAAAGAACCCCGGCGAGGGGAGUGAAAAAGAACCUGAAACCGUGUACGUACAAGCAGUGGGAGCACCUUCGGGUGUGACUGCGUACCUUUUGUAUAAUGGGUCAGCGACUUAUAUUCUGUAGCAAGGUUAACCGUAUAGGGGAGCCGCAGGGAAACCGAGUCUUAACUGGGCGUUAAGUUGCAGGGUAUAGACCCGAAACCCGGUGAUCUAGCCAUGGGCAGGUUGAAGGUUGGGUAACACUAACUGGAGGACCGAACCGACUAAUGUUGAAAAAUUAGCGGAUGACUUGUGGCUGGGGGUGAAAGGCCAAUCAAACCGGGAGAUAGCUGGUUCUCCCCGAAAGCUAUUUAGGUAGCGCCUCGUGAACUCAUCUUCGGGGGUAGAGCACUGUUUCGGCUAGGGGGUCAUCCCGACUUACCAACCCGAUGCAAACUACGAAUACCGAAGAAUGUUAUCACGGGAGACACACGGCGGGUGCUAACGUCCGUCGUGAAGAGGGAAACAACCCAGACCGCCAGCUAAGGUCCCAAAGUCAUGGUUAAGUGGGAAACGAUGUGGGAAGGCACAGACAGCCAGGAUGUUGGCUUAGAAGCAGCCAUCAUUUAAAGAAAGCGUAAUAGCUCACUGGUCGAGUCGGCCUGCGCGGAAGAUGUAACGGGGCUAAACCAUGCACCGAAGCUGCGGCAGCGACACUAUGUGUUGUUGGGUAGGGGAGCGUUCUGUAAGCCUGCGAAGGUGUGCUGUGAGGCAUGCUGGAGGUAUCAGAAGUGCGAAUGCUGACAUAAGUAACGAUAAAGCGGGUGAAAAGCCCGCUCGCCGGAAGACCAAGGGUUCCUGUCCAACGUUAAUCGGGGCAGGGUGAGUCGACCCCUAAGGCGAGGCCGAAAGGCGUAGUCGAUGGGAAACAGGUUAAUAUUCCUGUACUUGGUGUUACUGCGAAGGGGGGACGGAGAAGGCUAUGUUAGCCGGGCGACGGUUGUCCCGGUUUAAGCAUGUAGGCUGAUUGUCCAGGCAAAUCCGGAUAAUCAAGGCUGAGGUGUGAUGACGAGGCACUACGGUGCUGAAGUAACAAAUGCCCUGCUUCCAGGAAAAGCCUCUAAGCAUCAGGUAACAUCAAAUCGUACCCCAAACCGACACAGGUGGUCAGGUAGAGAAUACCAAGGCGCUUGAGAGAACUCGGGUGAAGGAACUAGGCAAAAUGGUGCCGUAACUUCGGGAGAAGGCACGCUGGUGUGUAGGUGAAGUCCCUGCGGAUGGAGCUGAGACCAGUCGAAGAUACCAGCUGGCUGCAACUGUUUAUUAAAAACACAGCACUGUGCAAACACGAAAGUGGACGUAUACGGUGUGACGCCUGCCCGGUGCCGGAAGGUUAAUUGAUGGGGUUAUCCGUAAGGAGAAGCUCUUGAUCGAAGCCCCGGUAAACGGCGGCCGUAACUAUAACGGUCCUAAGGUAGCGAAAUUCCUUGUCGGGUAAGUUCCGACCUGCACGAAUGGCGUAAUGAUGGCCAGGCUGUCUCCACCCGAGACUCAGUGAAAUUGAACUCGCUGUGAAGAUGCAGUGUACCCGCGGCAAGACGGAAAGACCCCGUGAACCUUUACUAUAGCUUGACACUGAACAUUGAGCCUUGAUGUGUAGGAUAGGUGGGAGGCUUUGAAGCGUGGACGCCAGUCUGCGUGGAGCCAACCUUGAAAUACCACCCUUUAAUGUUUGAUGUUCUAACGUUGGCCCCUGACCGGGGUUGCGGACAGUGUCUGGUGGGUAGUUUGACUGGGGCGGUCUCCUCCCAAAGCGUAACGGAGGAGCACGAAGGUUAGCUAAUCCUGGUCGGACAUCAGGAGGUUAGUGCAAUGGCAUAAGCUAGCUUGACUGCGAGCGUGACGGCGCGAGCAGGUGCGAAAGCAGGUCAUAGUGAUCCGGUGGUUCUGAAUGGAAGGGCCAUCGCUCAACGGAUAAAAGGUACUCCGGGGAUAACAGGCUGAUACCGCCCAAGAGUUCAUAUCGACGGCGGUGUUUGGCACCUCGAUGUCGGCUCAUCACAUCCUGGGGCUGAAGUAGGUCCCAAGGGUAUGGCUGUUCGCCAUUUAAAGUGGUACGCGAGCUGGGUUUAGAACGUCGUGAGACAGUUCGGUCCCUAUCUGCCGUGGGCGCUGGAGAAUUGAGGGGGGCUGCUCCUAGUACGAGAGGACCGGAGUGGACGCAUCACUGGUGUUCGGGUUGUCAUGCCAAUGGCACUGCCCGGUAGCUAAAUGCGGAAGAGAUAAGUGCUGAAAGCAUCUAAGCACGAAACUUGCCCCGAGAUGAGUUCUCCCUGAGACUAUAAGUCUCCUGAAGGAACGUUAAAGACGAUGACGUUGAUAGGCCGGGUGUGUAAGCGCAGCGAUGCGUUGAGCUAACCGGUACUAAUGAACCGUGAGGCUUAACCUU
rnacentral:rRNA from 1 species